rnacentral:rRNA from 1 species
CGCUGAAAGCAUCUAAGCGGGAAGCAUACUUCAAGAUGAGGACUCCCACAGGAUAACCUGGUAAGGCCCCCAGCAGAACACUGGGUUGAUAGGUCGGACGUGGAAGUGCAGCAAUGCAUGGAGCUGACCGAUACUAAUAGGCCGAGGGCUUGUUCCUACAA